CCAAACUCCCCCUAAAUAUGAAUAAUGAUUUGGUACAUGUGUGAUAAUGCUUUUCCAGAUCUUACAUAUUGAUAGAUUAUAUAGAAAUGCAUACAGAAAGAACAUGAAGCCUUCCCUUUCUACAAAUAAAGGAAGCAAGCUGCAUCCGGCGCUGUGGCUGGGCAGGAGGGGGAGCCUGGGCAGGGCUGGAGUUGGACAAGAGGGCUUUCUCAUUGAUGCCACGUCAGCUGUCCCCCACCCUCAGGCCCUUGGAUCUACCCUUACCCAUCUCUGCAACCUGCCAUUCUCUGCUCCCCUUCCCCUGUGCCUGCCCAGGUAUCCCUGCCUUAUGAUCCCCACCCCCAACCACAUCCCCCAAACCCAAAAAUCUUACUCCAUAGUCUUCUUGAAAUAAUCUCCUGUUAAUAUUUCUCUGCUCAAAAUAUUUAAGAAUCUCUCAACUGAUCUGGUGAAUUGAAGAAAUCUCCACGCCUGGCAUUGGAAGCACUCACAUUUCGGCCGGGGUUUAGGGGUUCUCGAUUAAAAUAAGUAAGAAUGAAGAAUGAAGCAGUUAAAGGAUGACUAGGUCUCUACCCCCAACAGCCCCCUUGGCCAUCCUGCAGGCAGAUCACGAGGGCAAGAUAACAUCUGAAGAGAGAGUCAGCUAUCUGCACGCAAUGGAGAAGGAUGCAGAACCCAACCUCCUGCCUCGACAAGUCACUGAGAUUCUUCCCCCCAUUUUUCCCUUUAAAAACUGUCAUGGCCGAGCAGAAUCUUCAGAGUUGGUCUCUGGACACGAGUCCACUUUCUCCCCAGAUUGCUGGCUUUUCUGGUUAAAGCACCUUUUCUUUCUAUUGA